CUCCUUUGACGUUAGCGGCGGACGGGUGAGUAACACGUGGGUAACCUACCUAUAAGACUGGGAUAACUUCGGGAAACCGGAGCUAAUACCGGAUAAUAUUUCGAACCGCAUGGUUCGAUAGUGAAAGAUGGCUCUGCUAUCACUUAUAGAUGGACCUGCGCCGUAUUAGCUAGUUGGUAAGGUAACGGCUUACCAAGGCAACGAUACGUAGCCGACCUGAGAGGGUGAUCGGCCACACUGGAACUGAGACACGGUCCAGACUCCUACGGGAGGCAGCAGUAGGGAAUCUUCCGCAAUGGGCGAAAGCCUGACGGAGCAACGCCGCGUGAGUGAUGAAGGUCUUCGGAUCGUAAAACUCUGUUAUUAGGGAAGAACAAACGUGUAAGUAACUGUGCACGUCUUGACGGUACCUAAUCAGAAAGCCACGGCUAACUACGUGCCAGCAGCCGCGGUAAUACGUAGGUGGCAAGCGUUAUCCGGAAUUAUUGGGCGUAAAGCGCGCGUAGGCGGUUUUUUAAGUCUGAUGUGAAAGCCCACGGCUCAACCGUGGAGGGUCAUUGGAAACUGGAAAACUUGAGUGCAGAAAAAGAAAGUGGAAUUCCAUGUGUAACGGUGAAAUGCGCACAGAUAUGGAGGAACACCAGUGUCGAAAACGACUU
rnacentral:rRNA from 1 species